ACGAACGCUGGCGGCGUGCUUAACACAUGCAAGUCGAGCGGUAAGGCCCUUCGGGGUACACGAGCGGCGAACGGGUGAGUAACACGUGAGCAAUCUGCCCUUCACUCUGGGAUAGCCACCGGAAACGGUGAUUAAUACCGGAUAUGACCAGCCUUCGCAUGUGGGUUGGUGGAAAGUUCAGGCGGUGAAGGAUGGGCUCGCGGCCUAUCAGCUUGUUGGUGAGGUAAUGGCUCACCAAGGCUUCGACGGGUAGCCGGCCUGAGAGGGUGACCGGCCACACUGGGACUGAGACACGGCCCAGACUCCUACGGGAGGCAGCAGUGGGGAAUAUUGGACAAUGGGCGAAAGCCUGAUCCAGCAACGCCGCGUGAGGGAUGACGGCCUUCGGGUUGUAAACCUCUUUCAGCAGGGACGAAGCGAAAGUGACGGUACCUGCAGAAGAAGCACCGGCCAACUACGU
rnacentral:rRNA from 1 species